GCCAGGCGUGGUGGCGCAUGCCUGUAAUCCCACUACUCAGGAGGCUGAGACAGGAGAAUCGCUUGAACCCAGGAAGCGGAGGUUGCAGUGAGCCAAGAUCGCACCACUGCACUCCAGCCUGGGUGACAAAGUGAGACUCUGUCUCCU
rnacentral:sRNA from 1 species